rnacentral:rRNA from 1 species
CCUACGGGAGGCAGCAGUGAGGAAUAUUGGUCAAUGGACGCAAGUCUGAACCAGCCAUGCCGCGUGCAGGAAGACGGCUCUAUGAGUUGUAAACUGCUUUUGUACGAGGGUAAACGCAGAUACGCGUAUCUGUCUGAAAGUAUCGUACGAAUAAGUAUCGGCUAACUCCGUGCCAGCAGCCGCGGUAAUACGGAGGAUUCAAGCGUUAUCCGGAUUUAUUGGGUUUAAAGGGUGCGUAGGCGGUCGGAUAAGUUAGAGGUGAAAUCCCGAGGCUCAACUUCGGAAUUGCCUCUGAUACUGGUAGGCUAGAGAGUAGUUGCGGUAGGCGGAAUGUAUGGUGUAGCGGUGAAAUGCUUAGAGAUCAUACAGAACACCGAUUGCGAAGGCAGCUUACCAAGCUACUUCUGACGUUGAGGCACGAAAGCGUGGGGAGCAAACAGGAUUAGAUACCCCAGUAGUC